AGACUUAUUCAUAGGCUGGUCACACCCUGUGCAGGACUCAGUCCUUGUCAGGACACAGCAUGGACAUGAGACCACCUGCUCAGCUCCUGGGGCUCUUGCUGCUCUGGCUGUCAGCUGCCAGAUGUGAUAUCCAGAUGACCCAAUCUCCAUCCUCCUUGUCUGCAUCUGUGGGAGACAGAGUCACCAUCACUUGCCAGGCCAGUCAGGGCAUUAGCAGUAAUUUACACUGGUAUCAACAGAAACCAGGGGAGUCUCCUAAGCUCCUGAUCUAUUAUGUAUCCAAUUUGCAAAGUGGGGUCCCCUCGAGGUUCAGUGGCAGUGGAUCUGGGACAGAUUUCACUCUCACCAUCAGCAGCCUGGAGCCUGAAGAUAUUGCAACUUAUUACUGUCAACAGAGUAACAGUUAUCCUCCCACAGUGUUACAAGCUUGA